rnacentral:sRNA from 1 species
GCUGGGCGUGGUGGCCCAUGCCUAUAAUCCCAGCAACUCAGGAGGCUGAGGCAGGAAGAUUGAGACCAGCCUGGGAUAUUUAGCGUGACUCUGUCUCAC